CCGCUGACCGCAGACCGGCAGAAGCUUCAUAUCAAAGCCACUUCUGUAAUUUGAUGAUAAACUGAGGGAGACGUUGGUGUUUUUCCUCCAUCAUGUAUCCUUUGGUCCUCCUGCUGCUGCUGGGAGCGAGGAGCUCAGAUUUCAGGGGCUGCGCCGUGACCCCCGAGGUUCUAGACUUGGAAGAACAACCCAGCGACUGGCGUGAAUCUUUUAAAGCCUGCGCUGAUCGCAAACUAGAGCUGCUCUGCCUGUCAAGCGCCGACCUCCAGAAACAGAUCUAUGGCAAACUUUACCAGAACAGGUCUUUAACUAACAACACUGUACAAGAGGUGUGGAUCGGCAUGCGGCGCAGCUCGCUGAACGGGGAGUGGUUCUGGGUGAACGGGGACAGCGUCAACAGCACCACCUGGGGUGACGGCGAGCCCGGUGGGGUGGAGGAAGGCCAGUGCACCAUCAUGAGUCUGGGAAACGGCACGGGCUUUGAGUGGAGCGACGACGACUGCUGCAUGGAUGCUCAUUAUAUCUGCUACAAGGAGCCGGAGCUCUUCCCCAUAUAGGACAGGAGCUCUGCAGCUCUGCACUGUCGUUAGUUUCACUACACAUCCUGUUCACGUAUAAGCAUGCUGUAGCUGCCAGUCACAUUUUAUGGCUCUGUAGAAGAAAAACAUGUACUCUAGUUUAGUCUGAGGGUCUCACGCUCUGCUUGGUGAGACACCUGAACAGCAACCAGCAGCAUCUUAGUCCUGAAAACCGAAGCAAAUGUGUAACUAAGCAUUUAAGAAAGUUUCACUUUGCAGAGGAUGUUCCUGCUGAUCUGACUGGGAAAUGUUACGAUCGUUGGGAACCAGUAUGCAGCAUCACUGGUUUCCUGUUUGAUUGUAAUCUGAGGAGAGUGAGCUGUUAUUUGUCACUAUUUAAAGUGUUUGAGCUUCGUGUGUUUGUAAUAAUCGGCUCUGCAGAAGCUUCAGCAGAGUGAUGCUAACUCGUAUUUACUGUUUGCUCUUAGAUUACGGUUUCUGGGAUAAACGAUCAGCGCCGUCCUGCGGCUGGUAGAAUACUUUUCUAUAAUAACUGAAGAUGUAAAUUCAAGUGUGAUUUUAUUCUUUAAGGAGUCCUAAACCGAGCUGAAUGUAAGUUUACAGGUAACCUCGUCAUCCUGAUGCUUUAUAUUAUUUACCGGUUUGAAGUCAGCAGAGUUUGCAUGUUGAACUGUUGAAUCUGCAGUCUGAUUGGUCAGAAUCAUCUAUGCACCAGUUUUAUUGUAAAAAUGAUUAUUUCAGUCAAUCAUGGACUCAGUGACACAUCAAUAAAUCUGUUUUGCUGUGACAAACUGGA
ensembl:lncRNA